rnacentral:rRNA from 1 species
UACGUAGGGUGCAGGCGUUAAUCGGAAUUACUGGGCGUAAAGCGUGCGCAGGCGGUCUGCUAAGAGAGGUGUGAAAUCCCCGGGCUUAACCUGGGAACUGCGCUUCUAACUGGCAGGCUUGAGUGUGGCAGAGGGGGGUGGAAUUCCACGUGUAGCAGUGAAAUGCGUAGAGAUGUGGAGGAACACCGAUGGCGAAGGCAGCCCCCUGGGCUAACACUGACGCUGAGACGCGAAAGCGUGGGGAGCGAACAGG